CAGUCGCCGCGGUAAUACGUAGGGUGCAAGCGUUGUCCGGAAUUACUGGGCGUAAAGCGUGCGUAGGCGGUGAGUUAAGUCUGCUGUGAAAUCCCCGGGCUCAACCUGGGAAUGGCAGUGGAUACUGGCUCGCUAGAGUGUGUCAGAGGAUGGUGGAAUUCCCGGUGUAGCGGUGAAAUGCGUAGAGAUCGGGAGGAACAUCAGUGGCGAAGGCGGCCAUCUGGGACAACACUGACGCUGAGGCACGAAAGCGUGGGGAGCAAACAGGAUUAGAUACCCCAGUAGUCCCUGUCUCUUAUAA
rnacentral:rRNA from 1 species